rnacentral:rRNA from 1 species
CAGUAGCCGCGGUAAUACGUAGGUCCCGAGCGUUGUCCGGAUUUAUUGGGCGUAAAGCAAGCGCAGGCGGUUUGAUAAGUCUGAAGUUAAAGGCUGUGGCUCAACCAUAGUUCGCUUUGGAAACUGUCAAACUUGAGUGCAGAAGGGGAGAGAGGAAUUCCAUGUGUAGCGGUGAAAUGCGUAGAUAUAUGGAGGAACACCGGUGGCGAAAGCGGCUCUCUGGUCUGUAACUGACGCUGAGGCUCGAAAGCGUGGGGAGCGAACAGGAUUAGAUACCCCGGUAGUCCCUGUCUCUUAUACA